GGUAGUGUGGUUGAAUGGUCUAAGGCACUGAAUUUAGGCUCCAGUCUCUUUGGGGACGUGGGUUUAAAUCCCACUGCUGCAA
rfam:Homo sapiens chromosome 14, GRCh38 reference primary assembly.